rnacentral:rRNA from 1 species
CUACGGGUGGCUGCAGUGGGGAAUAUUGGACAAUGGGGGAAACCCUGAUCCAGCAAUGCCGCGUGUGUGAAGAAGGCCUGCGGGUUGUAAAGCACUUUCGGUUGGGAGGACUGCUUCUAGCACUAAUAUUGUUGGAAGUUGACGUUACCUUCAGAAGAAGCACCGGCUAAAUCCGUGCCAGCAGCCGCGGUAAUACGGAGGGUGCAAGCGUUAAUCGGAAUUACUGGGCGUAAAGCGCGCGUAGGCGGCUAGAUCAGUCGGGUGUGAAAGCCCCGGGCUUAACCUGGGAACUGCAUCCGAUACUGUCUAGCUUGAGUACAGGAGAGGAGAGUGGAAUUCCACAUGUAGCGGUGAAAUGCGUAGAUAUGUGGAGGAACACCAAUGGCGAAGGCAGCUCUCUGGCCUGAUACUGACGCUGAGGUGCGAAAGCGUGGGGAGCGAACAGGAUUAGAUACCCGGUAGUC